CCUACGGGGCGCAGCAGUGGGGAAUAUUGGGCAAUGGAGGCAACUCUGACCCAGCAACGCCGCGUGAAUGAUGAAGGUCUUCGGAUUGUAAAGUUCUGUGAUGGGGGAUGAACACAAUGACGGUACCCCAAUAGCAAGCCACGGCUAACUACGUGCCAGCAGCCGCGGUAAUACGGAGGUGGCAAGCGUUAUCCGGAAUGACUGGGCGUAAAGGGUGCGUAGGUGGUUUAGUAAGUUGGCGGUGUAAUUCCGGGGCGCAACCUCGGCGCUACCGCCAAAACUAUUAGACUAGAGUGCAGGAGGGGUAAGUGGAAGUCCUAGUGUAGCGGUGGAAUGCGUAGAUAUUAGGAGGAACAUCAGGGGCGAAGGCGACUUACUGGACUGUAACUGACACUGAGGCACGAAAGCGUGGGGAGCAAACAGGAUUAGAUACCCGUGUAGUC
rnacentral:rRNA from 1 species